rnacentral:rRNA from 1 species
CCUACGGGGCGCAGCAGUGGGGAAUAUUGCACAAUGGGCGCAAGCCUGAUGCAGCCAUGCCGCGUGUAUGAAGAAGGCCUUAGGGUUGUAAAGUACUUUCAGUUGGGAGGAAGGCGUUGAUGCUAAUAUCAUCAACGAUUGACGUUACCAACAGAAGAAGCACCGGCUAACUCCGUGCCAGCAGCCGCGGUAAUACGGAGGGUGCAAGCGUUAAUCAGAAUUACUGGGCGUAAAGCGCACGCAGGCGGUUGAUUAAGUUAGAUGUGAAAUCCCCGGGCUUAACCUGGGAAUGGCAUCUAAGACUGGUCUGCUAGAGUCUUGUAGAGGGGGGUAGAAUUCCAUGUGUAGCGGUGAAAUGCGUAGAGAUGUGGAGGAAAACCGGUGGCGAAGGCGGCCCCCUGGACAAAGACUGACGCUCAGGUGCGAAAGCGUGGGGAGCAAACAGGAUUAGAUACCCCCGUAGUC